UACGGGGGGGGCAAGCGUUGUUCGGAAUUACUGGGCGUAAAGGGCGCGUAGGCGGCCUGCUAAGUCGGACGUGAAAUCCCUCGGCUCAACCGAGGAACUGCGUCCGAUACUGGUGGGCUUGAAUCCGGGAGAGGGGUGUGGAAUUCCAGGUGUAGCGGUGAAAUGCGUAGAUAUCUGGAGGAACACCGGUGGCGAAGGCGGCAUCCUGGACCGGUAUUGACGCUGAGGCGCGAAAGCUAGGGUAGCAAACGGG
rnacentral:rRNA from 1 species